GAACGUUGUUACUCAUGGUUGAGUGUGCUGAUUGCAAAUUAGUCUCUUUAGGGUUCAAUUCCCUCAACGUUCU
rnacentral:tRNA from 1 species